CCACGGGGGGCAGCAGUGAGGAAUAUUGGUCAAUGGACGAGAGUCUGAACCAGCCCAGUAGCGUGAAGGAUGACUGCCCUAUGGGUUGUAAACUUCUUUUAUAUGGGAAUAAAAUGUUCCACGUGUGGGAUUUUGUAUGUACCAUGUGAAUAAGGAUCGGCUAACUCCGUGCCAGCAGCCGCGGUAAUACGGAGGAUCCGAGCGUUAUCCGGAUUUCGUUGGUUUAACGGGAGCGUAGGUGGAGUGUUAAGUCAGUUGUGAAAGUUUUCGGCUCAACCGUAAAAUUGUAGUUGAAACUGGCAGUCUUGAGUACAGGAGAGGUGGGCGGAAUUCGUGGUGUAGCGGUGAAAUGCUUAGAUAUCACGAAGAACUCCGAUUGCGAAGGCAGCUCACUGGACUGCAACUGACACUGAGGCUCGAAAGUGUGGGUUUCAAACAGGAUGAGAUACCCUUGUAGUC
rnacentral:rRNA from 1 species